rnacentral:miRNA from 8 species
GGGCUGCCUUCUUCAGUACUU